AUGGUUGUCUUCUUCUUGUUCCGCUUUCAGGGAGGGCUCUGCAAAUUCUAAUGAGUUUGUAAUUAGAAUAAAGAGAGAAGGAAAGAUGGUUCCUUUCGGAUUUGGGCUUGGGUUUGUAGUGGGGAUAGAGAAAGGAGAGGAAGAAGCAGAAGAAAAGAUGAUAGGAGGGUGGUGGUGGAGGAAUAAGGUUUCCAUACUGCGUCUGCGCGCCUAUUUCUG
rnacentral:misc_RNA from 1 species